AAAGGUUUUCAAAAUAUUUUUGUAAAUAACUCAUUUUAAAAAACACGCGUGUUUUGGUGUACGAACAUAUUUUCCCUUUUAAGACCCACGCGUUUUUCAUUCUUCUAUUCUAUUUCACGCAGCAAUUGAUAGAUCUAGGUUUUCUAUCUCUUCAUCACUCCUCUUUCUUAUGUUGAAAGGUCACUAGAUCGAGCUUCGUAGGCUCCGAUUCACAAUCUAGUUCUCUCCAUCUUGGCUCAAAGCUCUCGAUUAGUCCGAUUUGAAGAUUAAUUUUAGUCACAGAACCACCAUCACAACUAUACUGUGUCAAUCUUUGCAGCGAUGUCAAUCUUUGCGUUUGUGCUUGAACAGGUUUGGCUAGAACAGUCACAAUUGAGGCAAGGUUUUGGAGGCAGUUUCAAUUUCAAGACUGCUAUGUAGUUCCAAAUCCCCCUCUCCUUUAGUUUCUUGGAGGAAAUCAUCCUUGGAAGUGGUCAAAACUUUGUAUUAGAGGUAUUUAUUUUAAUCGUGUUAGAACUUUGUAUGACUUAUUGCAUGAAUGUUUUCAAUACACGCGAGUAUGAUAUGUCAAAUAAAUUAUAAGGAUGGGUUUUCUUUUGCUGAAGUGAUCAAGAAUAUAUAUAUUUUUCAUUAUUUGUGCAUAAAGCAAAUCCAAUUAUGGUCUUCUCCUAAGCUGAGUUAUCAAAAGCUGCAUGUUUACCAAAUUCUGUUAUUGGCUAAUGAUAUUUUUCUUGCAGUGCUAGUUAACAAUAUUUUUACUUGAACUAGCCACUUGUUCUGUGCUCCUAUUUUAGUAAACUAGUAGAAUUUAACCAUGUACAAUCACAUAAUGACUAGUUUUCAUAUGGUAUCUCCACUGCUUUGGCAAUUAAGAUUUCAUUAUAAAGCUGCCUUUAGUCUAUACUUACAAUUUUUAAUGUGUUUUUUUGAACAUGUUAAGAAUCAUUGAUUAGAGGAAACGAAAACCUGUUGAGAAAUGUUAACAAUCCUUUCUACUUUUGUUUUGAUGUUUCAAAGAUAUGUUGUUGCUGAGGACACUUAAGUUUAACUGAAGUUUAAUAUCUUCCAAUGUAAUAGUUUUUAUUUAUUAUUUUUUUAUAAUACUGGAAACUGGUUAUUAGACCAUGGUAUUUAUCAUUAAUGUGCAUAUCUUUGCUGGAGCUUUUUCAUAAUGGUAAUUUCUGUAGGGUUGUAACCCUUUAGGCAUUCGAGGUUGAAGUUGGUAGUAAUGAUAAAGUGUUCCUGUUAAAGUUUGUGAAUUACUAGAUGCUGUUUCUGCGUAUGGUAUGAUCAAUUUUAUAUAAGAUCACAACUUAUCAUUGAAUAGGAUUGAAGGUUGGUGUAGUUAACAAUAAAGUGUUCCUAUUAAGGUUUGUGAACAACUAGAUGCUGUUUCUGCCUAUGGCAGAGCCAAGAUUUGAACACUUCAUUCUUAUAUUAGCUGUGACAACAAAUAUGGAAUGGGAGCAUGUAGAUAUCUUUGAAAAUGAGGGUGAUGGGUGAUUCCAGUAUUGAAAGCAAAAUAUUUAUUUACUUAAAUAAGGCCUUCGCUCUCUUCGUUUUAAGGUACAAAUUGGGUACUUAUCUUCCAAUGUCGGGAGCUCA